UUGUGUGAAUACAUAGCACAUUCGAGGUAGACGCAGAGAACUGAAACAUCUAAGUACCUGCAGGAAGAGAAAGAAAAUUCGAUUCCCUGAGUAGCGGCGAGCGAAACGGGAAAAGCCCAAACCAACAAGCUUGCUUGUUGGGGUUGUAGGACUCCAAUAUGGUCGUUCUUUCAGAUAGUCGAAUGACUUGGAAAAGUCAGUCAAAGAGGGUAAAAACCCCGUAGACGAAAUGUGGAAGACACCUAGGAGGAUCCUGAGUACGGCGGAACACGAGAAAUUCCGUCGGAAUCCGGGAGGACCAUCUCCCAAGGCUAAAUACUCCCUAGUGACCGAUAGUGAACCAGUACCGUGAGGGAAAGGUGAAAAGCACCCCGGAAGGGGAGUGAAAUAGAACCUGAAACCGUGUGCCUACAACAAGUCAAAGCCCGUUAAUGGGUGAUGGCGUGCCUUUUGUAGAAUGAACCGGCGAGUUACGAUUGCAUGCGAGGU
rnacentral:rRNA from 1 species